UACGUAGGGACCAAGCGUUGUCCGGAAUCAUUGGGCGUAAAGAGCGUGUAGGCGGCUUGUUAAGUCUUGCGUGAAAUCUCGGGGCUCAACCCCGAGCGGUCGUGAGAAACUGGCAGGCUAGAGUGCGGGAGAGGAGAGUGGAAUUCCUGGUGUAGCGGUAGAAAUGCGCAGAUAUCAGGAAGAACACCCGUGGCGAAGGCGGCUCUCUGGAACGGUACUGGACGCUGAGACGCGAAAGCGUGGGGAGCGAACAGG
rnacentral:rRNA from 1 species